rnacentral:tRNA from 1 species
GGCGGCGUAGCCAAGUGGUAAGGCAAUGGUUUGCAAAACCAUCAUUCACCAGUUCGACUCUGGUCGCCGCCUCCA